rnacentral:rRNA from 1 species
GACGAACGCUGGCGGCGUGCUUAACACAUGCAAGUCGAACGGAAAGGCCUGCUUUCCCUUGUGGAUUGCGGGUACUCGAGUGGCGAACGGGUGAGUAACACGUGAGUGAUCUGCCCCCAACUUGGGUAUAAGCCUGGGAAACUGGGUCUAAUUCCCGAUAGGACUGCAGGGUGGUGCCUGUGGUGGAAAACGAUUUUCUAGUGGUUGGGGAUGAGCUCGCGGCCUAUCAGCUUGUUGGUGGGGUAAUGGCCCACCAAGGCGGCGACGGGUAGCCGGCCUGAGAGGGUGGACGGCCACAUUGGGACUGGGGUACGGCCCAGACUCCUACGGGAGGCAGCAGUGGGGAAUAUUGCACAAUGGGCGGAAGCCUGAUGCAGCGACGCCGCGUGGGGGAUGACGGCCUUCGGGUUGUAAACUCCUUUCGACCGCGAGGAAGCCACCUGGUUGGAAGGGUGGUGACGGUAGUGGUAGAAGAAGCACCGGCUAACUACGUG